UACGUAGGGCGCAAGCGUUGUCCGGAAUUAUUGGGCGUAAAGAGCUCGUAGGUGGCGUGUCGCGUCUGCCGUGAAAGCCCAUGGCUUAACUGUGGGUCUGCGGUGGAUACGGGCAGGCUGGAGGCUGGUAGGGGCAAGCGGAAUUCCUGGUGUGAGCGGUGAAAUGCGCAGAUAUCAGGAGGAACACCGGUGGCGAAGGCGGCUUGCUGGGCCAGUUCUGACGCUGAGGAGCGAAAGCGUGGGGAGCGAACAGG
rnacentral:rRNA from 1 species